rnacentral:rRNA from 1 species
UACGUAGGGGGCGAGCGUUGUUCGGAAUUACUGGGCGUAAAGCGCACGUAGGCGGAUACUUAAGUCAGGGGUGAAAUCCCGGGGCUCAACCCCGGAACUGCCUUUGAUACUGGGUAUCUCGAGUCCGGAAGAGGUGAGUGGAAUUCCGAGUGUAGAGGUGAAAUUCGUAGAUAUUCGCAAGAACACCAGUGGCGAAGGCGGCUUACUGGUCCGGAUCUGACGCUGAGGCGCGAAAGCGUGGGGAGCAAACAGGGA